rnacentral:lncRNA from 1 species
CUGUGCUUAGAGCUAUUUCAUAGAAUCACAUUACUAACUGGAAGGUUUCUAAAGAUGCAGAUUUUUAUUUAAAGGAAUAAGAAGAUCAUACAUAAAAGUUCACCUGUAAAUUAUAUGAAGAUUGGAAUUUUAUCCAUAUUAAAAUUUACUUUAAAAUUAACAAAAAUUAAAAUGUUUUAGUCAGCUUUUUCACUGCUGUGACUAAAACAUGACAAGAACAAUUUUAGAGGAGGAAAUGUUUAUUUGAGGGCUCAUGAUUUCAGAGGUCUCAGUUCAUAGACAGUUGGCUCCAUCUUCGGGGCUCAUCAUGGUGGAAGAGUAUGGCAGAGGGAAGCAGUUCACAAGAUGGUUAAGAAACAGAGACACUCUACUUGUCAGAUUAAAAAUAUAAACCCAAAGGUAGAACCCCAGUGACCCACCUCCUCUAGCCAUACCCUACCUGCCUUCAGUACCACUCAGUUAAUCCUGUCAGGGGAUUAAUUUGCUGAUUGGGGUAAGGUUCUCAUAAUUCAAUCAUUAUACCUCAGAGCUUUUGGCUGACAUGUUACAUCCAAACCAUAACAGAAGCCUGCCCCCACCCCCUUUUUUUAAACAAAAGAAUGAAAUUAUUCUUCAGUGAAUCUCAUCUUGCAUGCCCAUAAUUUAAAUCUUGACUUUUGUGUUUAAUUUUUUUAAAUUGGCACUUUUUAUAAAAGUCAGGUGUUUGAAUUGUAGGCCUAGGCUUUGGCAUGUAGAUUGGGACCAAAUAAUGGAAGAUUUUUAUUAUCUUGAUAAAGGGUUUGAAUUUUAUUCUAAAGGCAGAAGAGAACCAUUAUAUAUUUGAGCCAAGAAUUAUUUGCUGUCUGCUAUACCUUAGAAAUAUUACUUUGGCAGUUGUGUACAGGAUAAACCAAAGCAAUAAUAUGAUAUAUUUGGGAAAGAGGAAUUCGAGAAGAGAGACUACAUAGAAUGGUAAUGCCAGGCACUCAAGGCCAAGGCCAGAGGGUCCAAAGUUGGAAGACAAUCUGUAAAACUUAGCUAGACGCUGUUUCAAAAUAGCCUGGUGGCAAAGCAUUCCUGGGUUUAAUCCCCAGUAUUGCAAAAAAAAA